GAGCUGAGGAAGAGUGCACCUCUAGCAAAGUUUUCAGAUCACACCACCUUGAAUGGCAGUGGCUCUUUCACCAGAGGACAGGUUGUUAUUCAGAAGGACAUCAGUAGGCUGCAGAAAGAUACCAGUGGUGAUCUCAGGAGAUCCGGUACAGGUGAAUGCAAAGUCCUAGCCCCGGUCUGGGAAGACAUCUUAUUGCGAUCAAGGCUUGGCAUCAACUGGCUGAAAAGCAGCUUUGUGAAAAAUGACCUGUGAACCUAAGCAGACAGCAGAAGGAACAGAGCCAGCAGUAAGUAACAGCUGUAGUGAAGAAGGUCAACUGUGAAAUGGGCAGUAACAGUGUGAGCGUAGACAGCAGCUGGAAGGAAGUGACUCUUCUCUAUUUUACACUUUAGGAAUCCAAAACAAAGUUAAUCUGAUCAACGGGGAUCAAUAGAAAAGUGAGUGAAGAUUCUUAUUUCUUUGAAGCCAGUGAAGGCAAUGAAAUAAUCCUCCUAAACAAUGAAGGCCUUUAAUUCAGAGUCUUGAACACUGAAAGGCAUUGUGAAGUGGGAUUUGCAGUGUUUCUGGUUUUAAU
rnacentral:lncRNA from 1 species